AGCAGCCCUUGUAGACGCGGCCGCUGGCAUUGUAGCAGUUCACGACCGGCGGCAUGGUGCCCUGGCAUUUCUCGCGGCUUAGUCCCACGCAGCUGUAGCACUCUGCGCCAUUGGGCUCAUACGCACUCUCAUUGCCUGCAGGAGGACCCGCGCUGGAGGCGAGUACCAACUUUUCUACAGAGAGAGAACCAACAGGAAAAGGGCAACGCAGUGAGCCAAGAACUGAGGUCUGGAACUGGACGGACUAACAUUUUAAACAUGCUGUGUGGCUCCAGGUAACUGAAUCUCCCUCUCUGAAUUCCAUCUACUUCCUUUGUCAAUUAAGUCUGAAACCCUAGGAGAGCUAGAAGUCCCUGUGAGUGGCAGACAGGGUGAUACUGCUGCGCACUAGACUUAGGAGGCCCCACAGGCCCCAGGAGUGUGGGAGAGUUUCAUGGGAGGAACCCCAACUGGCCAGACCAGAAGAGCAAGCAUCUUGGGAGGGAAUGGGACCCGGGUGUGGAGUCUGCUCUUGCUCAGGCCUGUCUGGAUAUGGGCUGCUGACCUGAGCCUGGCCCCAGCCAGGAACAGGAGUUUGUUCCUAGGCUUGUUUGGUUGGCUAGCAUAACUACUUAGUUUGUCUAUUUGCAUAUUCAUUUUGUUUAUUUGCAUACUCAUUUGGUCAAUUUGCAUAUUUGUCUGGUUGGUUUGCAUGUUUGUUUAUGCAUUUGUUUUCUUGCAAUGUUUUUAUUUUUGUUGUGGUAAAUGGAGAUGGAGCUCCGGGCUGGUGCCUUCCAGGCCAGUGAGCCACUCAGCUCCUCACUCACUGGAGGAGUAUGGGGAUUCUCGCUUACUGAGAUCCACAGAGGGGUUCCCACAUAAACACAGAGGCCUCUUCAGAGGCAGCCACCUGACACAAGCCUCUAACAUGCCUGGGGCCUUGUCUGGGAUGGCCUUCUGAUCCUCUCGGAAUCGGGGCAGGCUCUGAA